rnacentral:rRNA from 1 species
UAGGGAAUCUUCCACAAUGGACGCAAGUCUGAUGGAGCAACGCCGCGUGAGUGAGGAAGGGUUUCGGCUCGUAAAGCUCUGUUGUUAAAGAAGAACGUGGGUAAGAGUAACUGUUUACCCAGUGACGGUAUUUAACCAGAAAGCCACGGCUAACUACGUGCCAG